UCACAUUAUGGAUUAGACAGAUGAUCUUACCAUGACUAUGAAGAAGUAGAACACACACAUCCAGCCCAGUUUGCUCUCGAUCAACGAUACCAAGUACUGAAAGACAAGCUCCAAUACUCCCGGUCCCGUCCACUAUGCCGGUGACGGUAGCCAGAGCCUCCUGACUGCCCCUGAGGGCCUCCUGUCGCCCCAGGUCUGCAGAGAUGGCUGAGCUGAUCAUGUUGGAUGGCCCUCCUAUGAAGAAACCUGUGGUGGCCAGGAGAGCUGCAUUCACCACCUGGUCCGGAGGGGAGUCUGAGGGGGGGACAACACAGGGUUAAUUCACAUGUUUUUUUUGUGGUUUCUGUAUGAGACAUAUGGUUCUUCAUUUUCUCCCCCCCCCCUCCAUCAAGGGCUCCCCUUGGUGGUCUAGAAUUGACAUAACACAAUAAUGAACCAUUUCCAUUUUUUCUCUCUCACCUAAAAUAAAUAAUGGGAAUACUAUUUCUUAAAUAAAUGGGAUCACAUUGAAAUUGAA